rnacentral:rRNA from 1 species
UUCCAGACUCCUACGGGAGGCAGCAGUGGGGGAUAUUGGACAAUGGGGGGAACCCUGAUCCAGCGACGCCGCGUGAGUGAAGAAGUAUUUCGGUAUGUAAAGCUCUGUCAGCAGGGAAGAAAGCAAUGACGGUACCUGACCAAGAAGCCCCGGCUAACUACGUGCCAGCAGCCGCGGUAAUACGGGGGAUGCAAGCGUUAUCCGGAUUUAUUGGGUUUAAAGGGUGCGUAGGCUGUGAGGUAAGUCAGCGGUGAAAUGCCCCCGCUCAACGGGGUGAAGUGCCAUUGAUACUGCCUUGCUGGAAUGCGGAUGCCGUGGGAGGAAUGUGUGGUGUAGCGGUGAAAUGCAUAGAUAUCACACAGAACACCGAUUGCGAAGGCAUCUCACGAAUCCGCGAUUGACGCUGAUGCACGAAAGCGUGGGUAUCAAACAGGAUUAGAUACCCCCGUA